rnacentral:tRNA from 1 species
GCGUCCGUAGCUCAGUUGGAUAGAGCGGCAGCCUUCGAAGCUGUAGGUCGCAGGUUCGAGCCCUGCCGGACGUA